UCUCUCUCCUCGUCGCGGUGAGAGUUCUGAUUUCCAUCUGAAUCCGCGGGAAAAAGAGAGAUCAAAGUCCCAUGGAAAAUCGAUCGCGUCCAGAAUCAUCCAUGUGGCGGUUUUCUGGCUCGGUGCUCGAUCACUCACUUUCUUUACGAGAGCUUUGCGCUUCCAGGUAAUGUCGUUUUCUCAGUUCUCUUCUCAUUUUCAAUGAGUACAGAUUACUUCGGCGUUUCUGUUUUUUUUUUUUCAUGGUGGUAAUGAAUGUUUUCUGCCUUUCGUAGUAGAUGAUCUUGAUUUUUGAUCGUUGUGUGUUGUUUUUUGUAACGGAAGUUGAGUUUCUUUGUAUGUAAUGGAUGCAUGGCUGGGAUACUGGCAUCGGAUGAUUCUUAGAUGAACUAUUUAAGACUUAUAUUAUUGUUUAUUUCAGGAUUUUGACGCGAUGUGUAUAAUGUUCUUGCUUAAAUGUUUUAUACUUCACUUGCAUGACGAGCUGUCUGAUUUUCUCACAGAAUGCAGCCUCAGGGAUAUUGCAUCCACGCUAUUUUUUUACGGAUCAUUCAUUUCUAAAAAAAUAAUUUAGCAACCUACAUACGCAAUAUUUUCUCAUUAUCUUAUAAAAUUGUGACGUAAGAUAGGUGGAAUCUCGGGCUGCUGAUGGCUGGCCACCACGUAAAUGAAUGUGAAACCAAAGGUGCCCUUACAAUAUUUAUUUGUUUGAAAUUUUACUCAUUGACGUCUAUGCGUUUUCGUGAAUUUGGAACUGGAUGUUAAGACACGAAGUGCACAAUGGAAGGAAUUGUCAUAUAGGAGUGAAUUUCAAGUAGCCUGUUGUCUGUGCUAUUGUCUUUUACCUUUGAUGUUUAGAAGACAAUUGUCUAUGCAGAACUUGUGAUAAGAUUAUAGAAGAUUCAUCAUAUUUGAAAGCCAGCGGAUGAAAUUAUGAGUUUGCAGACAUGUUCUGAAAGUAAAUCUGCAUUUUAUAUCUGUAGGAUUUUUAUCAUUAUCUUGUAUGAUUUAAUAUUCCUGUUUAGUUUUGCACUCAAUGCGUACCAUUAGCUAUCUUUUGUUUUGUUAACUGAUCAUAGUUGCACCCUGCAAUGGCAGUAACCUCAUACAGUAAGUUAUUGCCUGCUUGUACCUUAGACACUUCGUUCCAAGUUUUAUGUAAGGAUUUUUUAUAUUUUUUCUAAAUGUUAAAUAUGGACCUUAAUUACCAAUUUUAGGACUCUUGUUAUUUUUUUGUUAAUAUUAUUACUUGUGCUUAUACGAUGGAUGGUUAACAUGCAUAUCAUUUUUUAGUGAGUUCAAUGUCUCUUCUUAUAUUUCUUAAAUUGUUAAUAGCACUGUUUUCAUUAGAUAUAAUCAUUAUCUUUCAGGACCAGUUGUAAUGUGGGAAAUGUAUAUAGUAUUUCUAUACAUUAUACAGGUAUAUAUUUAAAAUAUUUUUGGCUAAUUGAAGAAGUUGGUGGCUAUGACCAUCUGAAUUGACGUUGUAAUGGAGGUAUCUUAUCAAAAGACGAUAUUAGAAGUCAAAGAAUAGAGAAGAACCUUGAGAAGGCAGAAUAUUGUAGAACCCUUCACAGUUCUACGGAUCCAUUUAGUGUUUUCUGGCUUGAAUCCACUACUGUUGAUGUGCUUUUUUCUCUAGGUAGUGUUUGGGCCGCCUUCUUUUGAGCUUUUGAAAUCAAGGACUUUAGUGCUAUUAGUAAGGUCCCAAGGAGUCUUAUUUCUUUUAUCUCUUGAUUUACAAAUUCAAAUUUGAUUAGGUCUGAGAGUUCUUUUCCUUUAUCUCUUGAUAAUUCCCUGAUUUUUUUACAUUAAUCAUCUAAUGAUUUUAUCCUUCCGUUUCAUAGAUCAAAUCUACCCAGCUUGAUUUAUUUUUAAAAUUUAUGAGUUACUGAUAUCUCUCUAGCAAGGUCAUACCACAUACUAUAAAUGGCAAAUAGAAAUGGCUGUUGAUGCUCUGUUUAUUCUUGUGUAUGUACAGGAAAGUUUAGUGCCUAAAAGAUGCACUAGCUUGCUGGUAUACAAUAUUUCACCCAGUAACACAUAAAUUUUAGGUUGCGUACCUCUCUUCAAAAGGUAAGGGGUUGAGUAUGUUUAUGAACAAGGGCUUAAGUUUAUAUUGAACCAAUUUAUAAAGAUUGUAUUAAUUUUAGAUGUGGAAAAGGCUUAAAUGUUGUUGCAAGCUAUUAAAUGUGGUUGAUGCUAAAUUCAAAAUUAGAUUCUUGUUGUCUUUGAUAUGUAAUAGCUAUUUUCUUGCUUUUGUAAUAUUCACUCGUUAAUUGGUUUAAGUAAAGCAUGAUUCUAGUUGAAAUAUCUGGCUAAAUGAGGUGUGAGUGAGCCUUUUCUUUUAAUAUUGAAUUCAUGGUUUUUACGCAUGUUACCAGUUAGGUACAUUAGCAGUAGAGCUGUACAUGGUUAUAAUCUGGACCUGUUUGUGAUUCAAGGAGCAAUAUUUAUUUAUUCACUCUGCAUUUUCUUGGGUGGUUUUUUCUAUGUUUUCCUUCCACCUUAUUCUUAUUUACCUGUGGGUCAUAAUUGCUUAUCACUCAUGUUAUUGCUGGUGAUUUCUUUUCUGUGUUAACCCUGACAUUGGGCUAUGGGACAUGGCUGGAUUUAUGAUUUCCACUAUAUUGCAUAUCCUACAUACUUUAUUAUCUGUAAGAAGCCCAAGUUCUUCGUUUAUAUGCUGUAUACUUUUGACUUCUACUUUACUAAUUAAUUUGAAGUUUAUUUCUGGUUAGAAUGAAAUUGUGUAAUAGGUGCAUGUAUAAUCUUGUGCACAAAUGUCUUUGUUUUCUCAGCUUUUACUUUUUAGAUAAGAAACAUCAUGUUUCAAGUAAAAAUUACAACUAAUUGUAGGCAUGAUUGGAUAGAAUACAAAUAUUACAUCCAUAAAAGGAUGAUCAUAUAUGUAUGUAAAUUUUUUUUAACUUCCAACUAGAGAGAAUACAAGUUACAUUUGUUACAGCAUCAAUCCAUAAUACAUAAAAUUCUAUAUCAUCAGAGAUAUCAUCUUUUUUUGCUGAUCCACAUUACAUUUAUUCUUGUAUUUAAAGUGACAAAGUUCUUAAAUAAUUGAAAAUAGUUAUCUUAUGUUUUAUGUUAGUAUUUGACGAUCAUGCCAUAGGAUGUUUAGGAUUGUGAAUGAUAUAUCUUGACAUUUGUUAUUAUCUUGUUUAUCCAGAAGGUUAAAUUUAUUAUAUCUAAUAAUAAUAAUUUUUUUAUUAAAAAAUAUGUUUUACUAUAUUCCUUUUGUUAUGAUAUGGUGUCGCAAGUAUGCAAGGGAAGAGGUUAGAUAGAAUGAACAUUCCUUUCCAUUAGGUGUCAUUUGGUUCAUGGAAAAAUGGACCACUCUAGAACUAAGAAUGUAGGUAUGCGAUUAGGAGAAUCAAAUGGUUGAGAAAGAAAGCUAGUAUGUGUUCUUAUGCUUGAAAAGCUGAAGGAAAAAUUAUGGAUUAUAUAACUACUAGUGAUUGCAGGAGAUAUGCAUACUUCAUAAAUUGAUUAUUAGUUUCAAAUGUUAAUGAAACUUCAAACCAUUAUUAUAAAACCACAUAAUAACAACAAAUGUAAUGACGUGAUGCCAUAUCCUCUCUGUGGAAAUCCAGAGGUCCUGUGAGAGGGUUCCACAUUACCAUGAAGCUGAAGGAAUUAGAUUUCUUUUUCUACAGAAACAACUUGUAUGCUAAUAAAAGGAGAAUCCAAACUGAGCAGCGAACACCACCCUAAAGAAGCAAACAUACCCUUAGAGGCGUAACAUAAUUCUGGGAAAAACAUGUAAUAUAUCCUAAUUACAAAAUACAAAGGCAUUAUGGAUUGACAUUUUUAUAUAAUAUUACUGGAAGUUGGGUAUGCCAGGGAGAGAUUACAGAAUGAUUAAAACAUUAGAUUAAAUUAAUCAUAAGCUAACAGCUCAAGUUUUGAGGAUUGGUGAUGAUAAAAGUGAACUGAGAGAACUUUUGUUUCAGAUUCUUUUACUGGUUUAAAAUUCCGUAGUCUUGUAGCUUCUUUACAUUGCUGAAUCUCAUUCAUUAAUCAUUAUAGUAAAGUUUGGAAACACACGCAAGUGUAAUAUUAGCAAAGGAUGUGAAUGGACCCUCAAAACAGCCAACUUUUUUAGGAUAAAAGGACCAGUGGUUGGUUUUGGCAACUCAACAACAGGAAGCCCAGAUUUUAGACAUCUCAUAUGCAAUUCAGUAUCUACCAACUUAGUACCACCUUAUAUAAGAUUGUAUGAACAUUAAUUUUCAUUCAGCUAAUAGGCAUCAGGAGUCUGGUCUAAUUAAUUAACACAACAAACUUUUAAUAACAGCUAGAACAACACAUGGCACAUGGUGCAUUGUCAUUAUUUGUAAACUUACAUAGGUAGCUGGUCUGGCUGCUAAAUUUAUCGCAUAUAUAGAGUUUGAAGAACAUUGCAUACCAAAUGUGAGGGAUCUGGUGAAAACGGAAGCAGGAGACACCUUCAUGUUGAACAUGAUUCAUACUGUAUGAUGAGUUGUUGAAGAAAUGACCAUGGAUAAAUUAUCCAUGAUCUAACUGCUGUUAUUGCAGUUGCAAUCUGUUGCAAGUUUCAAUUAUAUCUAUUCAGCUUGGGAGAAAAAGUUGUCUAGUACAUAUUGAUACUCAGAUGAAUGUGAUUGCAAUUUAAUUCAUAUGUCAUGAACUUAGAUUACUAGAACAUACCCCAGCUUUAUCCCUGGUACUGAUGUUUCACUGUUUUGUGGUUGUGGCUGUCUUAGCUGUAGAGCAGGCAUACUGUAUCUAUUGGUGAUAGUGAAUUGUUGAGUUGAGCUACUGCUCGUUUUAUCCACUUCCAUUGGUCCAUAAACCUGAUAUACUUAAAAAACCCACCAAUAAGCUUAUUUAACAGGAAAUAAAAGUCCGUUUUCAGGACAAUUGAACUCCCGCUGUCGAACUAAAAAAAUCUUAUGACUAAACAAGAGUAGCUUUUGAAGAAGUUGUUCACAUUGAAGCAAUUGAAAAAAAGUUUGGAACUCUACCUUCAUUUGCAGUUCUGCAUUUUCCUUGUGAAUCAUAUCUAACUUCUUGUAUAGUUCCACAUUUUCUUGAUGCAUAUGAUUCCCCUGCAACAUAAUUAUAGCAAGUCAGCUGAUGUUACUGUACUUGAUAUCAUCAGAUAACAUGGAUGUUUACAAUGGGGAGAAACCUUCUGUCUUAGUUCCGUAAUUUCAUCCCUUAAAAUCUUUUCCUGCAAGGUAAAUACAAGAAGUAAACAUCUGUAUUCAAGAGGCUUUAUCAGAUUUUGUAGAUCUUUGACACUCAGGCCAGAUAGUUCUUCGCCCAUCAAUUGUCUGCAAAUAUAGAAGCACAAGAUAUAUUAUGAAUUCUUUUGCGUAUUUGUUUGAAGUGUUGGAUUAUAUUACCAUUUCCAAUGGAUCAGGCUUGCAUUCUAUAAUUUUAUCUCAGUAAUUAGCACGUCUUAGUUAUGAUAUAGAUCAUGGAUGGCAACUUAUGGUGUUAGUAAAAUGUUGAGUACACCUUUUAUGAUGAUCAAAUCAUCAGCCUAGUUUUACCAGACCAAGAAUCAUGUGAUGCUUGUCACUCAUACUUAGAAUAUAUUUUGACGUUCCCGCUUACCUUACAAAGUUUUGUAGAACAGAAGAUUGAAAAGGGAUUUAGAGCCAUAUAAUAUUUGAUAUGCCAGUGCUCUCAGUUGGAUAUUUGCUCAUGAAGGAAGGUACAAAAAAAGGACGAAAUAAUGGAGUUUGACCCAAAUUUGAAAUCAACAAAUGGUUUUGUGUAGAGAAAAUGCACGAGGUCAAGCACUGAGGAUGAGCUAAGCCUUUGCAUAAACCAUCGUGGGGGUUUUCUUUGGUAUGCCUCGUCAUAGUUGUAUCAGUAUUCUGUUGAAGCAUACCUAAUUGGCUCUCAUAUAGAAGUCCAGGAAUCCAUCAUACCUGAUUGGUUCUCAUAUAGAAGUCCAGGAAUCUAUAGGAUUACAGUAAUCCAAUAACAUUCUUGAUUUGCAAAUUGCAGUACAAUAUACAAGCUCCUAGCUAUGAACUGCCCAGGAAGUUUGAUAGUCCUGAGUUCUACUCCACUCUUCCCUACUGUAGAAUUUUCUCCACGCAUCUUAUUGUUGUGUUGCUCCCAACAGAAAAUUAACCACCUAGAUAAAAGACCCUCCUACACCUGUCAACUUAUUUCUUCGUACACUAGUAUGUAAUUGAUUAUUUUUCUUUUCCCUCAAGGAUUGAUUCAUCGUCACUAUGCUCUGAGCCAUUCUUGUACCGAUCAUGCAACUCUUAGGUUAAAUGGUCCCUUACAUAUCUUCUGUGUAUGCAAACAUCAAAUUUAUAUAUUAUGAAUGUUGUAGUCUACAUGUUUGAUCAUUUAAUAUUCACACGUCUUUUCGGCAUGUGAUUGUCAUUCAAGCUUAUAACGAAAGUUUCCUACAUGCAAUAAAAAUAACAAAGGGCUUCACUCAACCAAAAUAAAACCUAGAAGAUAACUACACAAAUAUUUAUACACCAAGCCUAGAAAGAGAUAUGAAACCUAACAAGGGACAAACUUCUUCCUAAGAUCUCUUAGUCUCUGUAAAAAAUUUAUUGUUCCUUUGUUCACGUGUGCUCUAUUCCUAGUUGGAAUAACUAUUGAUAUUAUCUAUGUUGAGUUAUCCUUUACUUGAUUCUUUGAAUUGGAAUCAUUUGAACAUGCGUAGUAGAAAGAAAUGUUUAUCCUUUUAGCCCCUAAAUUAACUCGUACAUUUUUCUUGUUCCUCAUAUCUAAUAUUUCUGCACUUGGAUUGGCAAAAGAAAAGUUUGGUUUCUUGUGAAUGACCUGUGAAAUAGAGGAACAUAUGGGUUUUGCUCACUACUUGAUAUAAUAGUAGUGACAGGCUGAAACCUUAAUAGGGUACAUUUGAGAAGUUUUCAGCGUUUAAAUAUUGUUUUUUAAAAAGCAUGUCAAUAUUGUGAAAUUUUUUCGGAACGGAUUAAUUUAGGAUCUCUAUUCCGAGUUCAAUUAAUUUCAUUUGCAAGUUAUUUGAACUCUAAAUUUGGAGACAAAAUAUCUUUUAAGGAAUUUUACUACUUUCUACAUGGGCACUGUUUAGAUUUUUCGUUCAAGUCUACGGGGGUUCUUCAGUAAUUUUCUGAUGAGAUAUAGCACUGAAAACUAAAAUUUAGCUAUUGUUAAACAUACAUUUGAAAGCUUAUGCUCCCUAAACAUUUUUUGGCUGAUCUUUUUUUCCUUGUAUUACAUUUAGAGUACAGCAGGGUUGGAGUACCUGUGACAUUCUUGCAAGUAAUGCAGUUGUUGCUUCAAAGCUGCUGCCUCUCUUUUCCAAAACUAGCAAUUAUAGAACAGAUGAUCAGCAUUGCAGUUUUACUUGUAGCAUGAUGAAUGAAGAUUUUACCUGGAGUUCUGAAACAGAGUUCAUCAGCUGAUUUUGCUCCUCUUUCACCUUGUAGUAACGAUCGGUAAUUGAUCUUAUGCUGAUAAGAUAGAAACUGUUAAUUCAGUUCAUAACCACACCUGAAAUCAAAUCUGGAAUUUUUAAUUGCCAUGUCACCAUCAUAAGGAUUUAUUACGUGAGUUGUGAAUAUAAUCUGCUCAUAGCAUGCUGUAGAGUGAUCAGUUUGUUCGCUAUCUCAUAUAAGCACGUCGAAUUUGGGUGCUUGUCAGUUAUUGAAACUCACCCAAACUCCUAUUUCACAUAAUAUUUCAAAUUAGAAAGAGAAUCUCAAUGCCUUUCUUUCAGAAGCCAUGGAACUUUGUACAAAGAUGUUACGAAGAUGGAUCGGUACAAUUUUCCGAACUUAGCUGCAAUUUAUGCCGUAUUUUUUCUGGUAAGGGUUGUGAUCUGUGUUGCUAGAAGGCUAUGAUAGCUUGAUUCUGAUUAUCGUGUUUUAAUAUGACAUAGCAACAAUGCCUAAUAAAUGAUUUUUGUAACUUAGUGUACAGAAAGGGAAAACCAAUUAGAUAUAGAUAGAUGCAAGCAUAGUACUCUUAUCUCUUAUUCCUACUUAAUAAAUAAAUAAACAUCUGCAAGAAUAGAUGGAAAUUUUUGUUC